AAGCUGCCUUUCUAUUGAUUUUGUUGGCUGCUGUCCCAAAAAAAAAAAAAAGAAAUCUGAGAAAGAAUUGGCUGCUUGCUCAGGCAUCUACAAUGGAAGCCCGCAGUUGUUUAUUCAGCGGAGCUCACAUCACAAUAUAACCUCUAUGCUUUUAAUGCCAGGAAUCCUUUUAAUCUCUUGUGAUUAACCCUAGAUUGUCGUGGGCGGCUUCCAGGAAAGGAGAAAAACUUGAAACUCCUGCGCAGGUUCAUCUGCGGAUGCCGGCCGACCUGUCUGCGUUUUGACAGGCAUGUGUCAUGUCGGAGGAAGCUGUGACAGGCGGACAGCGAGACCCGGUCGGGUCGGGUGGAGGAAGCAGAUAAAGGGCCGAUUGACUUGUGUGUGUGUGUGUGUGUGUGUGUGUGUGUGACGGCAGAGACGCGUGGCUCUUCUGGCGUCCAACCGGUCUGGGAGGAGCCGGGGUUGUUUGCGUGAUACCAGCAACAGUUAUCUGUUUGUUUUGGGGAAGAAAAGUGCCGAGCUUCCCUUUGUCAGUUCAGUUGACAGGCUUUCCAUAAUGGCGGCGUCCACAAAAAGUGUCCCAGAGUGGAAACGAGGGCCCGCCACUUCGCUGACUGUACCGCACACAGGAAUGGCUGAACGCCGUCCGUGUUUCCACCAAAUGCGCAGGCUGAACGGACACAGCGUUUGGGUUUCGCUCUUAGUUGUUCAUUCAUUUUUGCGUUGACGUGAGACUGAAGUGAGGGACUUAAAGAAGACUCUGGCUCCGGCGAUUAGCAGCACUGUACUCUACUCAAUCCUCUUAAAACAUCCGGACUGUCAAAACUCUUAAUACCACAUCCGUCUGUCUGACAUGACCAACAUCAAAAGGGGGAGCAAAGAACUCUGGGAAUAUAUGAUAGAGCUUUCAUAGUUUGUCGAACCCUCGCUGGCGAGCACGAAAUGAGGAUGAACGAGACAGAGGAGGGAUAAUGCACGAGUACACAAUGGAAGGGACAAGAGGAGUUGUGUACGCAUCAGCCGCUCCAAUAAGAUUCCUACACUUCCUACCCCGUCUCACUGAAGCUUACCUUGGUUGUGUGAUUGAUGUCUGUGAGCUAAAAUCUAUUUU